rnacentral:tmRNA from 1 species
GGGGGUGACUGGUUUCGACUGGAGUAGUAUGGAUUAUGUGCAUGUCGGACUGGGCAAUUCCGUUACGCGGCCCAACGCGAAUAAACGCAAAAAAUACAAAUUAUUCUCCUGCUUACGCUUUAGCUGCGUAAGUUUAACAAACUUUAGGAGUGCCUUGCUGCCGAGUGUUGUCAUAGGUAGAUUUUAGGUAUCACAAAAUGAUAACUUAUUCUAUUGAGCGCCUGAUCAAUAGAUGAAAUUUUAGGCUGGUAAUGUGUAGCUUUGGGUAUUGAGCAAAGCAUUAUAAGAUCUAUCAAUAUCAUCUAAACAUGUAGAGUCAUAAUUCGAGCUAUUUUAGGACUGGGGUUCGAUCCCCCACACCUCCACCA